GUGCCAGCAGCCGCGGUAAUACGUAAGGACCGAGCGUUGUCCGGAAUCAUUGGGCGUAAAGGGUACGUAGGCGGCUAGAAAAGUUAGAAGUCAAAGGCUAUAGCUCAACUAUAGUAAGCUCCUAAAACUAUUUAGCUUGAGAAAUGGAAGGGAAAGUGGAAUUCCUAGUGUAGCGGUGGAAUGCGCAGAUAUUAGGAAGAAUACCGGUGGCGAAAGCGGCUCUCUGGCUUGUAACUGACGCUGAGGCUCGAAAGCGUGGGGAGCAGACAGGAUUAGAUACCCUGGUAGUCAAGGGCGAAUUCGC
rnacentral:rRNA from 2 species